rnacentral:rRNA from 1 species
GCAAAGGUAGCAUAAUCAUUAGUUCUUUAAUUGUGAUCUGGUAUGAAUGGCUUGACGAGGCAUAUACUGUCUUAGAAGUAUUGUUUGUUGAAUUUAGUUUUUGAGUUAAAAUUCUUAGAUGUUUUUAUGGGACGAGAAGACCCUAUAGAGUUUAACAUUUAUUUUUAUUAUAAUUUGUUGUUUGUUUUUAUUUUUAAUUGGGCUAAGUGUUUUGUUGGGGUGAUGGGAGGAAUGUUUUUAACUCCUCUUUGUUUUUAUAUAUUGAUUUAUAUUUUUUUGAUCCAUUUAUUUUGAUUAUAAGAUUAAAUUACCUUAGGGAUAACAGCGUUAUCUUCCUUGAGAGUUCUUAUUGGCGGGGAGGUUUGCG